AUGGGAACUGGGCCAUCACGCCGUGCUCCAAAAAGAAAGAGACGGGGGUCAACUAUACAAGAAGAAGAAGAGUUUGUUGAGGAGGAGUCAGAAGAAGAUGAGGAAAUGGAAGCAGCGAUAGAUGUUGACGAUGAUGAGGACACAGAUGCGGAUGAAUCAGAGGAGGAGGACAAGGAGGAGGAUGACAAAGAAGAAGAUGCAGAGCAGGAGGAGGAGGAGGAAGAGGAGGAGGAGGAGGACAAAGAAGAAGAGGACAAAGAAGAGGAGGAGGACAAAGAAGAAGAGGACAAAGGAGAGGAGGAGGACAAGGAAGAAGAUAGUGAGGCAGAGGAGGAGGAAGAAGAAGAUGAGGCCAAAGAGGGGGACGGGGACAAAGGUGCAGCAGUUGAUGGCACUGAGGGGGAGAAGACAAAGAUACAUCAGUUGAUGGCAGCGAGGGGGAAGAAGAUGACGAUGAAGAAGACGAGGAUGGUGAUGGUGAUGAUAAAGGGGGAUCCAAUGGAGGCAGCGACAGCAGCGAUGAUGAUGAUGACAACGCUCUUGGUUCUGAUGGUACAGGCGACAACACAUCCAGGAGGACUAGCAGCUCUGCCACCCCUGCCAGCAGCAGCAAUUCAUUGA
rnacentral:rRNA from 1 species